rnacentral:tRNA from 1 species
UCCCUGGUGGUCUAGUGGUGAAGACUCUGUGCUUCCAAUGCAGGGGAAGCAGGUUGGAUCCCUGGUUGGGGAA